rnacentral:rRNA from 1 species
AACGAACGCUGGCGGCACGCCUAACACAUGCAAGUCGAGCGAGACCUUCGGGUUUAGCGGCGGACGGGUUAGUAACGCGUGGGAACGUACCUUUUGCUUCGGAAUAGCCUCGGGAAACUGGGAGUAAUACCGGAUGUGCCCUUAGGGGGAAAGAUUUAUCGGCAAAAGAUCGGCCCGCGUCUGAUUAGAUAGUUGGUGGGGUAAUGGCCUACCAAGU